rnacentral:rRNA from 1 species
UGCUUGCACAGAUGAUUAGUGGCGAACGGGUGAGUAACACGUGAGUAACCUGCCCUUGACUCUGGGAUAAGCCUGGGAAACUGGGUCUAAUACUGGAUAUGCACCGUGGACCGCAUGGUUCUUGGUGGAAAGAUUUUAUUGGUCAAGGAUGGACUCGCGGCCUAUCAGCUUGUUGGUGAGGUAAUGGCUCACCAAGGCGACGACGGGUAGCCGGCCUGAGAGGGUGACCGGCCACACUGGGACUGAGACACGGCCCAGACUCCUACGGGAGGCAGCAGUGGGGAAUAUUGCACAAUGGGCGAAAGCCUGAUGCAGCGACGCCGCGUGAGGGAUGACGGCCUUCGGGUUGUAAACCUCUUUCAGUAGGGAAGAAGCGAAAGUGACGGUACCUGCAGAAGAAGCGCCGGCUAACUACGUGCCAGCAGCCGCGGUAAUACGUAGGGCGCAAGCGUUAUCCGGAAUUAUUGGGCGUAAAGAGCUCGUAGGCGGUUUGUCGCGUCUAUCGUGAAAGUCCGAGGCUCAACCUCGGAUCUGCGGUGGGUACGGGCAGACUAGAGUGAUGUAGGGGAGACUGGAAUUCCUGGUGUAGCGGUGAAAUGCGCAGAUAUCAGGAGGAACACCGAUGGCGAAGGCAGGUCUCUGGGCAUUAACUGACGCUGAGGAGCGAAAGCAUGGGGAGCGAACAGGAUUAGAUACCCUGGUAGUCCAUGCCGUAAACGUUGGGCACUAGGUGUGGGGGACAUUCCACGUUUUCCGCGCCGUAGCUAACGCAUUAAGUGCCCCGCCUGGGGAGUACGGCCGCAAGGCUAAAACUCAAAGGAAUUGACGGGGGCCCGC